AGUGAGAAACGAGUCCUCUGCGUAUUCGGCCUACCACGGCAUUUUACACCGCUCAAAGUCAGCGGAAUAAGUGCGCUUCCCUGUGGAAUAUCAUCCAUCCGGCCACCGGCCUCACCUCAGAUUCCCCGCCACGGAUAUCAAGGGAUCCUACGGAGCCUUCACACCCAAAACAACGCCGGAGCGUUACGGCAUUCACCCACGGUCCCGAUGAUCUCCUUGAGUACGUGUGCUGGCGUGUGGUUGACCACACUAUGGACGGAGCGCAGGAUCACUGACAGUGCCUCGUUCACGAAGAUGAAGACCACAGAGAUCUGAGGAAGGUCCUCCGGGUGGAACUCUUCUGUUUUUCCCCAACAAAUAUUUUCCCUUUCACCGUGCCUGAUGUUCUGCUGCUUCAUCUGUGCCGAGCGUAUGGUCUGCACUUCACUGAGUGUUGAGCAAUUAAUAACCCAAACAGUAUGUAUAUUCCAACAGUGCACCUAAUGACCGGUCCAGCUCCAAAAAUUGAAAAUCAAAACAUGGCGGCACAUGUUUUAAUCGUGGCAGGCCACCACAAAUGAAUGCAUGGGAAAGCCUGAGCAUGAUUAACGUUUAUCUGGUUAUGUUAAAGCAACUCAAAGCACUUUGUUAAUGUAUGUUAAUGUUCAAUAUUCGACCACAAACACUUGCUCACUUUAACCCAUUUUUUUUUAGUAACCCAAAGCUAACAACAAGUGGGACACAGGAAGCAACACAGGAGAAUGUACGUGGCUCAGCAAGUUAGCUGUAUAUGAACAGAAUUUUUUAGGAGAAAUGUUUUCU